rnacentral:rRNA from 1 species
AGGGUGUAAACGCUGCAGACUUGGUGUUGGAAGCCCUUUGGUGGCAUUCAGUGCCGGAGAGAAGUUGUUAAGUCUGCUACUUGGGGAGUACGUCCGCAAGGAUGAAACUUAAAGGAAUUGGCGGGGGAGCACCGCAACGGGAGGAGCGUGCGGUUUAAUUGGAUUCAACACCGUAAAACUCACCAGGGAAGACUGUUACAUGAAGGCCGAGAUGAAGACUCUGCCAGAUUUUCAGAGAGGUGGUGCAUGGCGUAGACGUCU